GGCCGUGAACACAAUUUGAUAUAGAGACAAUAUAUAUUUAUACUUUUGUUAUUAAAAAAUUUGGGAAGUGUUUCCCGAUUUUUUUUGGGGAAAAAAGAUGAAUUUAUGAAGAAUCUGGUGCCAUCUCAUACUUUCGAUUAGACCUGCUGAGUUAUUUAUUUUCUAUACAUUGCAAGUCAGGUAAUUUAUUUUCAAACUACCACAGAACAAACCAUUUAUUUUUGUGAUUAUCAAGGCUGAGUUAUCUAUUUUCAAAAUCCUCC
rnacentral:lncRNA from 1 species